rnacentral:rRNA from 1 species
UACGGAGGGUGCAAGCGUUAUCCGGAUUCACUGGGUUUAAAGGGUGCGUAGGAGGGCAGGUAAGUCAGUGGUGAAAUCCCCGAGCUUAACUUGGGACUGCCGUUGAUACUAUCUGUCUUGAAUACCGUGGAGGUGAGCGGAAUAUGUCAUGUAGCGGUGAAAUGCUUAGAUAUGACAUAGAACACCAAUUGCGAAGGCAGCUCACUACACGAAUAUUGACACUGAGGCACGAAAGCGUGGGGAUCAAACAGG